CUCACAUCCCAUCCCAGCCAUCUCGGCAGGGACCCUGUGUUCUGUGUGCCGCGCCGACCCAGCCCUGCAGUGGACCGUGCCAUUCGAUCCACGCAGCCGAUGAUGAUUCACGCUCUGCGAUCCGGGGAGUGAGAGCAGGCAGAGGAAUCCCCCCCCCCUUCUCUCACCUUCCUCCCACCCUGCACAUCCAUAAUUCAGCAUUUGCGCCUUCGCCACACAACCCACCCCUCCCUCCUGUCUCUUUCAUCCCAUUGCUUUGGCUGCUGGCGUGCGCACCACAGCGCGGCGUCCACAAGCCCGAGUGCCCGCCGUCAGCAAUCCGGCCAUCUGGAGCUCCACGUCGAGCGGCGCAGCAGGUGUAGAAGAGGAUAAUGACAAGAGCAACAGAAGGGAACGGGGAGAGUCAGACAAUGUGUAACAUCUCAUUCAGGCUGUCUGCACACGAGAGAGUGCCGAUGUGCCCGGAAGCCCGG
ensembl:lncRNA